AAAGAAGGGAGCUGAAAAUGUGAUGCGGAGGAACUCAAGGAGUCUGGAAGAAGCUGAUGGACAUGCCUGAAAGCAGAAAGGGGAAAUUAGGUCUACCUGUUACUGGUUGACACAGGAACUGUUUUGCUGCAAACACUGCUGAGUGUUAUGUCCAAGUAGUCGAAGCAAGACCAUUGCACAGCUCUCAGAUGGAACUGAGAUACGGAGGGAUGAGGUUUCAGCUUUGUGGCUCUGCUCCUGGACUCUGGCCUUUCACAGCAUGCAAACUCAUGAUCUUGCCACUCGGGGA